rnacentral:lncRNA from 1 species
GGGGGUGGGUCCUGACAGUGGAGGUCUGCAGCCAGACCCCUCUCUGUUGGAAGAAAGAGCCCAAGAGUAACGUCAGUAAAUCUCAUAUUUUUCAUCAGGCCUGACGUUCGGGGUCCUGUUACAGUCUCUUAAUUAUGGACAACAACAAAGAGGGACAAAAAGGCUCCGUGUCUGGAGAGGGUUCCUGCGCUGCGUUUUGGUGCUCGGGCCCUAAUAAGAAAAAUAGUGGGUUUGUGGAGAGAAUCUGUGACCUGCUGUGACUGCGGAGAUGUUGGAUUUUCUGUUUGUUUUUGUGUUUCAUGAAUAUUUAACGUUUUCACUCGACAAAAACAAGAAUAAAGAACAAAGAGCCGCAGCGGAGCGAAGCUUUAAUCAGCCUGUUAUGAAUGUGAGAGUGAUUGUGUUGUGCUUAAGAAACAGCCCUCCCACUGGAAACACACACACACACAUAUACACUACACACACACACACACACACACACGCACACCGCUUGUUUACAGACAAACAUUGCAGGAAAACAUGAAGUCAAAUCAUCAUCUCGAGAAAAUCAACACUUCUAAACAAUCAAAACAAUCUGCAAACACAUGAUUUAUGAAUUUGUUUGAAUGUGAGUGUGUGAGUGUGUGUGUGUGUGUGUGUUUGUGUGUUUAAGACAGAGAGAGCAAACAAACAAAGGUGUACGAUGUCUUUAAAGCGUUCCUGUCUUCAAUACAGAAUAAGUGGUUUUCUACUUUAAAGACCAAAACACAGAAAUAAAGUUUUAUUUUGAAAAUAUCCACAAACAUGUGGACAGGAUGGAGAAAUACAAAGUUAAAAAUAACAAAUACUGUCAGUAUAGUUUUAUUUUGAAAGGCUCCAAACAACUCCCAGUCCUCACAGUGGAGGUCUGGGCUCUAUUUUCGUGUCUCGCCGGCGGCAUGGCAUAGGCGCGGCAUAAGUUAGGUGCGCCGCGCCAACAAGGCGUGCCCAAGCACAUUUUGGUAUUUUGGUGAGCGGCGCAGUCCGGCGUAAGUAUCCCCCCUCCCUAACUCAGCUCCUCCCAGCGGCGCAAGUCGUAGAGAAGGAGGGGAGAAGGCGUGGAGUGGGUUUAACACAGCUGAGACCUGUUUUCACCAAUCAUAUCACCUCCUCUCCUCACCUUUAAAUCCGCCACCGACGAGGCGUAUUACUAUUUUCGUGAAGUAGUCAAAGAGAUCAAGAGAUGUCUGAAGACAGCAACGCCACACGAUGGCGACAGAAGGCAUCCCCUAAACAAGUGUCAGAUUAUUAGUUCUUAUUGAUUAUUUGUUGCACUGAAAUGUUCCUGACACUGUGGAAACCUGCCGGUGACGUAUGCCGAUACGACGCCGGUCUACCAAAAUACCUCUAGACCAGCUGCGCUCCGCUUGCGCCAAAAGCUGACCAGGUUUGAAUCGGCGUGCUUUCAGCGCACUUUCUAUGCCGCUGGCGAGCACCAAAAUGUCACCUGGCGCGCCACCACGCCCAGCUUGGCGGACCUCGGUGCUCCUCAUUCCAUGAGGCCAGACAAAAAUACCACUGCGCGGGGUCCGCCACCCUCCGCCACGCUGCCGGCGGGCACGAAAAUAGAGCCCUUUAUCUCUUAAUGAAACUAACUCCACAUCCUGAAAUCUACCACACCCUAAAGUGCACCGUGUGACUCCACCAUCAUCUAGAAAAACACCCCCCCCACACACACUCACUCACACUGUGGGAGUGUGUGUGUGCUCGUGCAUGGAUAAGUGGUUCACAGCAGGCUGGGUGACAGCGUGCAGCACACACAGCAGGACCUGCAGCACUUCCACAGAUACAUGAAUCAAAGAGGAUUUUCACAUUUGACACCGUGUGACGCCUGAAGGUUCCCACGCUGCCGCCUGACAGCAGGACGCCGAUCUGUUGUGAUAAUAUUGGAUCUUUAUUUUGUUUGUGAAUCGUUUAUUUAUUGUGUUUACAGACAACAACGGGAAACUGUAAUGGAAGAAGAAGAAGAAGAAGAAGAAGAAGAAGAAGAAGAAGAAGAAGCUCGACGAGAGAGACACACAACUUGACAACUGGACUUACUUGAGACAUUUCGCCUAAGGUGAAACAUCUCAACUAAGUCCAGUGUUCCUUGAAACGAAGAAUUAGAAAUCAUAGAUGCUGCAUCCUCAGUUUUCGACAAUAUCUCCAGGUUUAGGAGGAACAUCUACAUGACUUUUCAUUGUUGCUCUGUAGUAGAAGGGUCCUGAUUAUUGAUCAACAAGUUUCCGAUUUAACAAAACUUUUCACCUUAACCCUCUCUUCCUGUUAACUUUAAGCUCCAUCCAGACGACUUUGUCCUGUUACAGAUGGAGGUCGUCUGUGACCUCCACCUAACGAGCCCCUCACUCAGCUCACCUGUCCUCAUUACACUCAGCUGGUUUUCAUCAGCGUAGGUCGUCUAUAAGGAGGUUCUUUCACUCCGUUAGGGAUGUGACAACACCUUCAGUUGGUUUCUCUUGGUUUGUGUGUUUGAGUGUUUGAGAGAGGUUGAGUUUUGAAGGAAGGAAGGAGGGUAAAUUCUAGAAAAUUCUACCUCUGUUUGAGGCCUUUUACUUUGGUUUGCCGACUUUUAGGCAAAAUUAGUGGGUGGUUGUGUGGAAGUAUAACUCCACUCCAUCUUUUAGAACCCAAAGGCCUUAUUUUUGGUUUUGUUUGAAGGUGCAGAUGUUCCUUUUGUUACUUUCCCUGUCCGUGACCCUGUCCUUCACGUCAUGUGACUUGCAAGAUGAAACUGUCCCCAAAACAUGCAGAUAAGCGCUCAUAAAAUUAUUUAAAAAAAAAACAAAAUCCUUUUUUUUUAACUUAUAUUUCUAAAACAACUUCAGCCCUAACCAUUAAAAAAGUAAUGAAUAAAAAAUUUGAUGUAUUUCCCUUUUUAUGCCAGUUUUUGUGCGACAUGUCACUGUUAGUUUUUAAUGGUAAAAAACACAAAAUCGCCAUAUUUCUCAAAUAAAGUGACCAGGAUGAAUUUUUUUUCUUUUAAUAAAUAGAGUCUGGGCCAUGUUAAUGAUGAGAAAUAAAACUUAUUUUGGGGAAUUUAAAUCCUUUUUGUUGUGCUAAUUUUCCGUAUUUUACAUCCAUCCAGCUGACUUUGUCCCCAAAACAGACAUGCAGAUAAAUGUUCAUAAAAUAAAAAUUUUCUUAAAAUUUUUACUCAAAUCUCUUAAACAACUUCGGCCUUGACCAUUAAAAAAGUAAUAAAUAAAAAAGUUGAUGUAUAAUUCUUUUUAUGUCAGUUUUUGUUCACCAUGUCAUAUUUAUUCAUGAAUCUAUUGGAGCAGAAAAACACGACAUUUUCACCUCCUUUUCUGGAGUCUCGUCUUCUACCAAAUCAAAUACGAUCAAAUUAAUUUAUUCAUAAUAAAUUAAUUUUAUAUAUAAACAUAUAAAAUCAGCAGAUAUCUGUAAGAUAGGAAUCAUUUAUGAGUGUUUAUCCUCCUCUAACCAAAAUCUGACCCUGAUUACUCUGAUAUAAAAAUAACUGCAUAUUUCAGAUGUGAUAUCUUCUCCCCUGAUGAUCUGAAGGACCUGUUCAUCCUCAUGCAUGUCCAUCCACCUGCUCUGAACUGAGGACAAAGUUGAAAUUGUCCAAAUGUCCCCCUCUCUUUGUCCCAUACUGCAGAACUUGGACGUCA